rnacentral:rRNA from 1 species
GAUGAACGCUGGCGGCGUGCUUAACACAUGCAAGUCGAACGAAGCACUUUAUUUGAUUUCCUUCGGGACUGAUUAUUUUGUGACUGAGUGGCGGACGGGUGAGUAACGCGUGGGUAACCUGCCUUGUACAGGGGGAUAACAGUUGGAAACGGCUGCUAAUACCGCAUAAGCGCACGGCAUCGCAUGAUGCAGUGUGAAAAACUCCGGUGGUAUAAGAUGGACCCGCGUUGGAUUAGCUAGUUGGUGAGGUAACGGCCCACCAAGGCGACGAUCCAUAGCCGACGUGAGAGGGUGACCGGCGACAUUGGGACUGAGACACGGCCCAAACUCCUACGGGAGGCAGCAGUGGGGAAUAUUGCACAAUGGGCGAAAGCCUGAUGCAGCGACGCCGCGUGAGCGAAGAAGUAUUGCGGUAUGUAAAGCUCUAUCAGCAGGGAAGAUAAUGACGGUACCUGAAUAAGAAGCACCGGCUAAAUACGUG